UGAAGAUAAAUUGAUUUAUGUUUGAAUAUAUUCAUGUAAAAGUGAGUUAAAUAAAAAAAAAAAGAGUGGAUAUUCAGCAAGACUUUUUUUGUCCGCAAACAACUUAUUACUUUGUUGUUCCUACUUUGUUGUUCCUCUAUUACCCAAGCGGGUAUGAGAAUGGAUAUAUGUAUUUUUUCAACGUGCAGGUAUGGGAAUAGGUAUCAUAGUACUCUUACCAUACCUUACCAAUUGUCAUCCCUAAUAAUCAAAAUAUUUAUCAUAAAAUAAUUAUACAGAAAUAUUUUCAAUAAUACAUCAUAAUUUUAGUCUAAGUUUUAAUCUCCCAAAAUUCUUAUCAUUGAUAUUAUAAAAAUUUAAUU
rnacentral:lncRNA from 1 species